CAAAAAGUAGAGCGGGAGGAUGAGAGAGCACUGGCACUGGCAAUGCACAGGGAUUAGCCAAUUUAAGAUAAAUUUAUUAAGACUCUAAUAUCCACGCUGUCUUCUCCCGAAAAUGAAUCGUCGACAUACAUACAUACAUAAAUAUCCCCUCGAAAAACUUCAACACCAAGUGGAAUUGACGCUCCCUCGUCAAUUGCUAAAUGAUGCAUGGCACAAAUUGCCAAAAACGCAGCGGGACCGAGUUGCAUGUUUGAACCGAAACUGCAAAGUGGGGUUACUACAACGUUUAAUUAAUAUAUAUGACAAUCUGGAAAGACGUCAUAACUUGCUUCCCCUUUGCCUUAAAUAUUUUUCUCCAAUAUCACUGAUGGGUCUGUUUAUGGUACCCCAUUGAAUUGUCAAGGACUUCAAAAGAAUUAGGUUUUUCAAACACACAUCUGCAGCUAUCGAUGUCAAAGUAUGGACAAAUGAUCUGUUUAAGUCAGUUCUUAAAGGAGUAUUUUGGUCAUUUUUAUAAGUGGAAAUCAAUCUAAUAAAUAAAUAUUAAGUCAGAAUACAAUUUUAUAAUAAUUUUCGACUGUAGAGCAUUUUAAUGAGCUGGAUUUUAAGUUACUAAAA